ACAUCUCUAGUUUCGAUUUGUGGGCGUCUGCAUUCUUCAUUCUUCAUCGUUCUCCACCGCAGUGACAGGGAUAAAUCAAGCUUAACCAAGAUGUCUGACGAAGCCGUUUUGACUGAUUACAAAUAUGUUUUUCAGAAGGAUAUUUUCAAAGGAAAAGUUGCAUUUGUCACUGGAGGUGGAACUGGGAUAGGAUUCACGAUAGCAGAAAUAUUAAUGAGGUAUGUUAGUAAGUCACGAUAUAUAGGUCAUUGUAAACAGGUAUAGGCAUUGAAGGGUUUAACAUCUAGAACGUUAUAUAUACUUACCUCUUGCUAUCCACAUUCAGUUCAUUAUUUUACUAUAUGCUUUAUAUAUAUAGGAUACUGUAAAUUUUUUCGGCAAUAGUUUAACAUAAAGAAAGUUAUAUAUAGUUAACUGUGGCUUUAUGCACCAUUUGAUUCAUUUAUUAUUUAAUUUAUUCGAUAUGAGAUUCUAUUCGACGUUUUAAUUAUAGAUUACACUUCCCAAAAAAGAAUUUCCAGUUAUUAUCUGUUUAUUUAUGCCUGCUUUGCAUUUAGGCAUGGUUGUGACACAAUCAUUGCUAGCCGCAGACUUGAUGUUUUAAAGAAUGCAGCUGAAAAGCUCUCAAAGGCCACUGGACAGAGAUGUCUACCGAUACAGAUGGAUGUCAGAAAGCCAGAGGCCAUUACUAAAGCUGUAGAAGAAGCUCUUGGGCAUUUCAGGCGAAUUGACAUUCUCAUUAAUAAUGCUGCAGGAAACUUUCUGUGUCCCGCAGAGAAUCUUUCUUUUAAUGCCUUCAAGACAGUGAUGGAGAUUGAUGCUCAUGGAACAUUUAAUGUCUCCAAGGCAGUAUUUGACAAGUACAUGAAGAAUAGUGGAGGAGUCAUCAUCAAUAUUACAGCUACACUGAGUGUACGUGGAGCAGCUUUACAAACACAUGCUGGAACAGCAAAAGCUGCCAUAGAGGCCAUGACCAAACACUUGGCUGUGGAGUGGGGCCCCAAUGGAGUCAGAAUGAUGUGUGUGGCUCCUGGACCUAUAGCAGAUACAGAGGGGAUGAGAAGACUCGGAGGGAACAGGAUUACAGAUGAUUUUUUAAAAUCAAUCCCAGUCCAGCGUCUGGGACGACGGGAGGACAUUGGCAAUGCGGUGCUGUACAUAGCCAGCUCCGCAGGGGAGCUCCUGACUGGAACCACAGUUAUCGCGGACGGCGGGGCCUGGCUCACCUCCGAAAACAACUUCUGGAGAAUCAAGAACAGUCCCUUGUAUAAACAGAUAUCUAAGAUGUAAUCCAUCAUUUGAUCAUCUGCGUUGUGAAGGUUUAUUUCAAGCACUGUAAUAGAUAUCUUGCAAUGAAAUAAUUUUUUACCAGAUAUUACAGUUUUGUAAGUAAACAUUAAAACUGUACAUGUACACAAAGCUUUGAAUUAAAUGAUUUUGUGAUUCCAUUUUACUAAUUUCACACCUUGUAAAUAAGAAAUGAAUAUACUGUACAUUUUUGCAAAUGUAGAAUAUUAUCAUAGCUUUUGGUUGGUUUUACAUUGCAUCAAGUAUCAUAAAUUGUUUUGAUUUGCAGAUUUUAUAUUAUAUCCAUGGAUAUUACUAAUUUGUAUAUGUAUCAUAAUCAUGGUUUUUUCAUGUGAUUUUAACAUAAAAUAUUGUGAAUAUUGAUUGGUGCUACAUGUAUAUUAAUAUGUUUUGUAUAAAAGUCAAUAUGCAUUGACUAUUUUGAAAACAUAAUUAAAUGAAUGACAAAAGGCU
rnacentral:misc_RNA from 1 species